UUUGAGGAUGGGUAGGAAUAUAGUUAUGUAAUGUAAUUACUCUCUUUUUUAUUCUUUUUUUUUCUUAAUUACCUUUUGAUUUUUGUGUUUGAAGUGGAUGAUAUCUCUCCAAAAAAUGUCAGAACUCCCUCUCGUUUUCUUCUUCAGUUCUGAAACUGAAACUUUUCUUUUAUAGGCACCAAGGUUGGAGGUAGCUCAAUA
rnacentral:lncRNA from 1 species